GGGCUCCUUCGGGAGCACCGGCGGACUGCUCAGUAACACGUGGACAACCUACCCUCGGGUGGGGGAUAACCUCGGGAAACUGAGGCUAAUACCCCAUAGGCCUCGGAUACUGGAAGGUUCCGAGACCGAAAGCUCCGGCGCCCGAGGAUGGGUCUGCGGCCUAUCAGGUAGUUGGUGGUGUAAAGGACCACCAAGCCUACGACGGGUACGGGCCCUGAGAGGGGGAGCCCGGAGAUGGACUCUGAGACACGAGUCCAGGCCCUACGGGGCGCAGCAGGCGCGAAACCUUCGCAAUGCGCGAAAGCGCGACGAGGGGAGCCCGAGUGCCCUUCCUUUCGGGAGGGCUUUUCUGGAGCCUAAAAAGCUCCAGGAAUAAGGGCUGGGCAAGACGGGUGCCAGCCGCCGCGGUAAUACCCGCAGCUCGAGUGGUGACCACUAUUAUUGAGCCUAAAG
rnacentral:rRNA from 1 species